AUCACUCAGGAAGAGUGGGCAUUGAUGGAUCCUUCACAGAAGAAUCUCUACAAAGAUGUGAUGCUGGAGACCUAUAUGAACCUCAUUGCUAUAGGCUACAAUUGGGAAGAUCUUAAAGUUGAAGAACAUUGUCAAAGUUCUCAAAAACAUGGAAGGCAUAAAAGAAGUCAUAC